GAUGCCCUCAAACUGGGCGGCAACUUGGUCAUCGGUGUGUAAGGACCAUCACUGGGAUGUGAUGAUCGCAUAGCGACCGCCCUAAGUUCCCAACUGCAUCCGCAAGCUGGCUGGUCCCCGCAGGGCGUCCAGGUACACGCUGUGCCAAACUUGCCCGCAGCAACAAGCCAAGGGAAUCGCGUGGGAAAAUGGAAAACAGGCCUGCACGCCUCCGCGGGAAGUUGAUGAUCAGCAGGAACCGAAUCUCCGAAGUCACCCGCAACCCCGCUCAGACUGGCAGUCUAAAAAAGCUCCCCAGCAAAUGGAAGAAUGGAGCCUAUCACCUCGGAUCACCUUUGAAAAUCAUCCGGGUCAUCUGCCCUCUCAGAACAGACUCCUAUUUGGAGAGAAGGGACCUGGAAGUCCUGAGACAUUGCUGGAAACCAUCAAGCUAAAGUAACUCUCAGCCCAGGGAGGAGGCCACAUCCCUACAACAGGGAAUUAGAGAUGCCUGUGUGGCUGGGUGAGACCUGAAGGGCCCCUCAAGCUGCAGGGACAUAAAGAACCCUGAAAUGCCAAAUUUUAGGUAUACAUCUCAGGUGUGCUCACAGAACAGGAACUUUGUGAAGACAAAUGCCCAUGGAGAAAAGAAUGAGACACACAGUUUCCCUGGGCCUGUGUCUUCAACCAAGUCAAGACCAGCAUAGACGCCAUUCCAAAAGUAACCAAGAGACAUCAAUAAUAAACAUUUUCUACCUGUUUUCCAAGGAAAGCUAAAAAGAAAAACCACAGAAAGUUAGUUCUCCUUCUAGUGCCUUCAACACAGCCUGGGCAGGGGUCUGCAUACAGAUCACACGUCUGUACGGCAUGCUCUGUGUACUCUUCAAGUGUAAUAAAUGACAUUUUCCAUUUAGGAAAAAGGCUGUCACGAGGGACUUCAGAGCACAGCCACAGAAAGUCUGUGACCCUCUGGUAAAGCUGAUCUGCCAGGCUGCCUGUCUGUCUGUCUGUCUUCAUGCUCGCUCCUGUUUUUAAAGGACCUGUGAAGAUCUCGGCAUGGUGGAGCAGACUCAAAAUCCGAUCACUUAAGAGGUUGAGGCAUGAGGAUCUCGAGUUCAAGGCCAACCUGGGCUGCAUAGUGAGCGCUGCCUCGCAAGAGUACAUGAGGAUGCCUGGUGCUUUCUCGUCAGUCCCUAAGGGAUGCUCCCGAGAUCUCAUUCCUCUGUCUUUAAUAUACUGCACGCACAAAGUGAAUCGUUGGCCAAGUGAGUCUGUCCAUUUCCAUGUUUCUGUCACUUCUUAGUACAACUGAACAAUAAACUUAUUUUGAAGGAAAUUAGCAAGCAAAAAAAAUAAUAGGACAAUCUAAUACUUUUCACUCAUAAAAUGUCCAGCCUUACUUCCUACCAGGCAAGAUCUUGAGUUGAAAACACUCCAGAUGUCUGCCACUGUGGGGACAAGCUUAAUGUGGGAAUCACUCAGCCAGAGACAUACGCAUUCUCAAUCAGUAUUACACAGUCUCAAGGGAGCAAACUUCAAUGGGACAGGGGACAGGAAAUGGAUCUGUGCUCCUCCACCAUCAAUUCUGGGGUGCUAGUGAUCACGCCUAAGUUUCUGAGUGAAAUGAAUCUGAAAUAAUUUUUAUGCACAAACACUACACAAGCAGAUGAGACAGGUAUUAUAUAUUCGGUACUACAGUCCCACGGGCUUCAUUUUGCAACCACUUGGGCUACUGUGAAAAACACAACAGAGACUGACAAGUGUUAGUGAGGAUGUGAAGGCAAAGGGGGAGAGAGCCCUUGUGCGUGGCCGGUGGGGAUGUCAUGAUGUCAAGGGCAUCAAGGGCACGGCCACUGGGGGGAAAAACAGUAAGGAAGUGUCUCAAACUCAAACGCUUAAAAAUAGAAUCAACGUGUGACUCAGCAACCCCAAUUCUGGAUGGAGCAAAAGGUCGGAAGGCACCCGCAUUCGGAGUAGGCUUAGUCAGAACAGCCAACCCAGACAGCCGUGGAUACACAAAAUCCAAUGUGCAUCCAUUCACCCUUUAAGAAAGGACAUUUGGGAGCUGGAGAGAUGAAUUAGUGUGGCUAAGAAAAUGCAAAGGACCCAGAAGAGGCUCCCAGCACCACCCAUAGCAGGUGAUUCUCAACUCCAUGUAACUCCAGCUCCAGGAGGAUCUGAUGUCUCUGGCUACAAGGACAGCUGCACAUGUGCACAUACACACACACAUACACACACACACACACAUACACACACACACACACGCACGCACGCACGCACGCACGCACACAUGCACAAAUCUUCUUUUAAAGAAAAAAAGCAUGAUGGUGCAUGCCUUUAACCCCAGUCCUGGGAAGGCAGAAGCAGACCUCUCUACAUUCAAGGCCAAGUGUGCACCGAUUUCUCGUCUUCAUUUUUAACAACUGCCUCUGGAUGCUAAGCUCACCUGCUAAUGAAGGGCCGGAUGUUGUCCCCAGAGAUGGGUGCCAUGGACAUGGGCAUGGGCUCUGGCGUGGACAGCCAGUAAGAGUAGUCGUUCCUGGAGGCGAAGUUGCAGACGUUGUUGAUGUUGCAGAAGAGAAAGGGCAUGGUGCUGAACUUACGCAGGCAGCUGCCAGCCGUACCUGAUCAGGAGAGAACACAGCAGGAAGUGAGAACCUGCACUCUGGUCCACACAGUCUGGGAACGGCACCAGUAAGCUGGGAUGCUGGCAAGUGAUUGGCAGAUUAGAUUUCAACUGAUCAGGUAAUAAGGAAACUAUAAAGAGCAACACAGAUGUGUUUGAGGCAAGGAAAACAUGCCAACAGAGUGUGCCAACAGAAGGUAGCCUGUCCCAGGAGGAAUGUCUGGUGCAUGACUGUAGGUCUCCCAGCCUCUGUGCUUCUGAUUUUACUCGGUUACAUCAGCAAUGUACACAACCCUAGGGCAACACUUGGUGGAGGGUCCCUGGAGCAGAUAAAAAUAGUGGGCGUAUGCAUGUGGCUUCCUGUUGCAUCAAAAGAACUCGGCGGGAGGGAGGGGGCAGUCCAGAAGAUGCAGAGAGCCUCUGUCAGAAUAACAUGGCGUAUUUCUAGAAGAGCCGACAGUAAGCAGCCCGAUUUUAAGAACAUUGCACAAAUUGCUACGUGUGCCACAGCAGGACCCUCAACUGUACUUAAUAACUAGAGUGAGAUCUUAAGUUUUACAAGUUUAAAAACGUCUAAGGACCAAGCCCUCAUAGACCAUGCUUCUCACAAGACAUAUAGAAGCUGUUGAACUGAGGGGUCAGCAUGUGGGGGGUGAAAGGAGAUUUGACAAACCCUCGCCAAAAGACACUGCCUACCCAGCCCACCACACUGUAGCAAAUAGAAAAGGAUGCCAUAUUCCUAAUUAGGAGCCCACUAUAUGCCACACAGGAAAAGAACUGCAUCUUACCCAAGUCCUGCCCGUGGGCACGCUCGUUGCCUUGGACAUAGAGCAGAGAGUAUCCAUGGUAAAGAAUUUUGGUCCCUGGGGGACACAGUGGGUCAUCUGUUGUCUGACUAUGCCUGGUCACAAGGAAGCCAUGGUCCACAGAUGGGGUACCUGGGGGACCCAUGGAUCCUGGCAGCCCAUCGGGGCCUGGUGGGCCAGGAAACCCUCUUGGACCUGUGGGAGAGAAGGUAAAUGCGCACCUUAUUACCUACCAUCUGGCUCCCUCCAAAGUCCCUGCUCCCGGCUCCAAGGAACUGCAGCUAGCUGCUCUGCCCCAAAGUAGCAGAAGUCUCUGACCUUUCACUGCACGAAACUAAGGUUGUGGAAAGGGCAAAACUAAGUCCUCGCAGGCCUCCACAUCACACCUUUGCAUAGCUUUAUGAGCCCAGAGUGCAGCAGGAGACAACCUCUUCUGUGAAUAACAGAGUAGCCUAUACUGCAAGUGCAGUGCUCCAUUCAUAAGGAAUCCUGGGCUGCUCAGAGGGGAGAGCGAGCACUACAGAAUCCAUGCAACAGCUUUACUCUCAUCCAACAGCCUGAGCAUGAAGGAAGUCCUCAGAUAACUGGAUCGUGCAUUCCCUCGGAUGGCUGAAGCACAUGCCGCCCCAGGUCUGCAGAGCUGUGCUCUUUGCACAGGGACACCACAGUGGGACAGUCCCUGCUUCCCACGAGGGCCCGUGAAGAUUAUUCCACACCAGUGGCCUCGGGACAAACACUGACAUUAUUAUUUUCCACUUCUAUUUUCCACUAGCUGUGGCUAAAACAGAAUUUUUGUAGCUGUGGGAUGCUGUGCUGCUACGAAUCCACAGGGGCCCACCCCACCGCCUUGGCUACUCUGGAAAGCACACACCUUAACCGAUCAACAACAGCAACCCUCAGCUCCCUCAGGAGCCUCUCUCUUCUAAGACAUGGACUACCUUGGUACCCUGUCAGAACUAUUUUUAACUUCCUUUUGAGGUUCCUCAGGCCUGGGUCUAUUGUUUCUGCUGUAAAGACCUACCAGGUGGUCCAAAGGGUCCUGUCUCUCCUUUCUGGCCAGGAGCACCAUCGAACCCAGGGACACCUGGAGGUCCAGGCAAGCCCACUGAGCCUGUCACACCUACAGGAAAGGAAGAAGACUUUGUGAUCUGGUCUGGUGGGCAGCAAACUGGCCCUCUUUCUCCCCUUCUCCAGGGAAGCAAGCGUAGGGCCCAGACUGCUGAUAUGUCUGAGAGACCUAUGGAUCCUGGUAGCCCGUCAGGGCCUGGUAGACCCAGUUGCUUCUUGCAGAGCCCAGGACUCCCCUUUUGGAGUCUCAGAUGACACACUGUUUAUAAGGGGUAUUGCCCCAACCCUGUCCCUCAGACUGUCCCCUGAGCUCUCCCAAGCUUUUUGCAGGUGCUAUGUGACAGCCAGACCUGGAAAGGGUCAAGUAAGGGAGACGGGGAGAGAGGUCUGUCUGGCCUCCCUCCUUGCUGUGCUUUUGAGCAGUGGUUCUCAAAUUGUGGGUCACAAUCCCCACAGGGGUCACACAUCAGACAUCCUGCAUGUCAGAUAUUUACAUUAUGAUUUAUAACAUUAGCAAAAUUACAGCUAUGAAGUAAGAAUGAAGUAACUUUAUGGUUGGUGGUCAUUACAACAUGAGGAACUGAAUUAAAGGGUCACAGCAUUAGGAAGGUUGAGAGCCACUAGUCUAGAGUCUCAGUGUUCAAGCCAUGGGCAGGCUGUGGUGACCGUUUCCACACGCACAGUUAACUCAUAAGCAGCUUGAAGCUUAACAUUUCUUGGUUGCUGUUUCCAAUCCCCCAGCUUUCUCUCAGCCCCUUUCCCACCAGCUCCUGAGAGAGGAAUGGCAGAGAAUAGCAAGGGCCUAGAGGAGGGUGUGCUGGAAACACAGGGAAGGAGCCACAGGGCCUUUGCUCAUAGACAGAACAACUCAUGAGCCCUGUAUAUGAGUGGCAAUCCCAGCAGCCCAUGGGAACCUGUGCUCCACUCUGCCAGCUGCCCUGCCAAGCAAGGCAGGGUCGGAUGUUUCUAAGUCUAACUGUGUUGAGUUGUAAGCCUCUGGUCUUCUUGUAUUUUACUUGCCAUUUAGAGUCGGUGGGGGGCGGGGGGUUGUCUUCCAAAAACUUUAUUAUGUCUGGUGUACUUUAAACAAAUUCCACAUUCAAAUAUAAAUGUGUUUGUAUAGUCAACCGCUGUUCAGACUCUGGGCUUAGACACAUAGGUGAUAGGAAACCCGCCCACAUACCCAGGCACCUACACAACCCCACAUGCACACCCAGGCACCUACACAACCCAAGGACUCACCUUGCUGUCCUUUUGGACCUGGUGGUCCCUGGAGUCCUUUAAGACCAGGGGGACCCUCAGGACCAGGGAGCCCUGGUUCUCCUUUGAUGACAUCGUAGGGACCUGGAGGCCCAGGGGGACCUUGGAGACCUGUGGGAAUGACAGGCAGAGGAUCGGCUUCACUGUCAGCAGCCACUGUACCAUCACCAAACACACCAUCACAGAGCCUCAUCAAAUGCACAGGUGAUGUGUGCUACAUCCUUCUUGUUUAACUAAGCCAAAAAUCCUGCCCUCCCAACUCCAUUCUGGAAACCAACAGCUGCCACCUGCCCUUCCUCUCCUGAAGAUGCCCGUGGGCACAGCAAACGCCACCCAGAGUCAUUGUGAGCAGUGGAAGGCAGAUUUUCUUCUGUUCCAACUCUAAGUGGCUGGUGUCGGUCUGAUGUCAAAGCCUGUGCAACAUGCUGGAUCCCCAACACGAAGGUUCCUCUCGCCCCCCUCUCUUCUCCCCUGGACUUGCCGAGUCACACACCAGACAACUCCACUAUCAAGACAGGCUGAUGCCAAAACUUCCAACAAGAGUUCCUAAUCUCUGUUUUCUACUGAUGUUUCCAUUCAUCUGACAUCCCUCCAAUCCCACGUGUUUGGUAGCUUCUGCAUCUGCCCAGAACAUUGAUAAAGCCUGGUGCAUUAACAAUUCACCUGCCAGAGACUGCCCUACCUGGGAAUCCAUCCCAUAUACAGUCAACAAUCCCAGACACUAUUGUGGAUGCCAAUAAGUGCUUGCUGACAGGGCCUGAUAUAGCUCUGUCACUGCCUGACAAAUACAGAGGUAGAUGCUCACAGCCAACCAUUGGACUGAGCAGAAGGUCCCCAAUGGAGGAGAUAGAGAAAGGACUGAAGAAGCUGAAGGAGCUUGCAGUCCCAUAGGAGGAACAACAAUAUGAACCAACCAGUACCCCCCGCCCAGAGCUCCCAGGGACUAAACCACCAACCAAAGAGUACACAUGGAAAAACCCAUGGCUCCAGCUGCAUAUGUAGCAGAGGACAGCCUUGUUAGACAUCAAUGGGAGGAGAGGCCCUUGAUCCUGUGAAGGCUCGAUGCCCCAGUGUAGGGGAAUGCCAGAACAGGGAAGUGGGAGUGGAUGAGGGAGAAUAGGGGGUUUUCAGAGGACAAACCAGGAAAGGGGAUAAUGUUUGAAAUGUAAAGAAAAUAUCUAAUAAGAAACAAAACAAACAAAUAAAACCAAUUCACCUAC